GUGGGUAUAGCUCAGUAGUAGAGUGUGUGCUUAGCAUGCAUGAGCUCUGAGUUUCAAUUCCUAGUACCUCCA
rnacentral:tRNA from 1 species